GUCCAUUAAAACUUGUUUGACAAUACGCGCAGACGUAAUGUGAUUAACGAGUCAUUAAAUUAGCCGGGCUCUAUACUUAAUGAGUCGCCGCCUUUGUUUUCUGCCUGAUUAAGAACUUCUUGACAAAAAAAAAAUAAAAGAAAAACUCAAACAAGAUCGACAGAUGAGAAAAUGAUCUCCCGAGAUCGUUUGAUGGCGAAAGAUAAAAACAAGAUCAAAGAGCUAUUAUUUUGCCCAGGAAGCGUGAACUGCAUAAGCAAAAUAAUAAAAUUCGUAAAGUAAACGCAUGAUCGCCCAAUAAUCUGUAUUCUUACCUUCCGUGAGAUUCAAAUAAUCAAUUGGAAAGCGUCCAGUCUUUUAUCACCUACACGGACGUUGAUUAUCCAGGAUGGUUUUCUGAAAAGAAUUGGCAACUGCAGACAAACAAUGUAUGAAAACAAUUUUGUGAGACUUGCGCUCCAAAGAGCAGAAGGUUUUCCGAUUUUUUGUGCAUCGCUGUGAAGGAAUUACUUCAGACCCAUCUCGCCGGCGUUCCAGCAAGGAGUUUGUUGUUAACGUAACAUAAUCAGAAGCGUUUGCUCACCAAUCAAACGAGGAAAACACUCAAACACUCAAAACAAGUUGGUGAAUGUUCAUGUUUUAUUCUGGAAAUCAUCAGCAUACAAAGCACUGAAAAUCGUUGACUGAAAAGUGUUCUGACAUUCUUAGAUACCUUUACCUCUUUACAAAACGUGGUUGGGUUUUUUUCUGCUAAAAAGAGACCUACCUAGCUAACAUAACUAGCUAAAUAGACCUUAACAAAAUUAAGAGUGAAUGACUCACAAUGCCAUGAAUAUAUUGGUAUUAUAUUUGAGGUUUGCUAAGCCAUGGAGAUUAAUGGCGUUCGCAAUCUUGCCUAUAGGAUGAGUAAAAGCCAGGAAUCAAUCGUGUAGCUCGCUAACUUGGUAACAAAUAUGCUCAAAUAAUUUUCUUUCAAAUGCAUGAAGAUGUGUAAACAAAGUAUUUACUGCCGAUAAACUAGCCAGCUGAACUUUGAGCCUUAGCUUCGUUGGAACUCAACACAGAUUUAUCUAGAACAUGGUGUUGAGCGCGACAGUGCGUCCCGUAAGUAAACUGUAGAAACUUAUACCAUGGAACAUUAAAAUCUAAUUCAUAUUCAUUCAAUUUAACAAAAGUGUCCUAUUGAAAGCUGUGACUGCGGUUUAAAGCGCUGUCACUGGAAAACAAUGCUAGCUGCACAACGCAACGUGUAAUCAAUGUAAGACUCAAUCUGUGGUUAACUUUCAUGGUAUGGCAAUUGUCUCCUUUGUCUUUCGAACUCUUAUUGUCCAGUCUAAACUAACGAUGCAACAACCAACAGUUGUUUUACAACGAAGGGAGUUAAGUUUCAUUGUAGUAAUGCAGUACACGUGGACCAUAGACACGAACCUGUGGUGAGAAAUUCCCACAAGUUCGGAUCUACGGGUUCAGAUGAACCGCUGGAUCUUUCCGUGACUGUUCUCUUCGUUUAUUUGCUUUGCUAACAAAGUGGAUGCCAGCCUUUGUUAAGAAAAUUAGCGUAGAAAUAAUAGAGACUUUGACCACGUGCGCUCAAGGCAUUUUAAAAUGUAAUACCUGUCUUUUCACACAGUUAACCGCCUACUGCUCAAGAAAAUGUUUGCUCUCUCUCGUCUCUCUCGUCUCUCUCGUGUUCAAUGACUGCUGUUACAAAGGUAGUCCAUUUUGAAAGCUGACUUUCCUGAAAGGGUCUUCAAAGCGACAUUUUGGAAAAGUCGAAAAUAUAAUGCGACAGAAAAUGUGGUCAGAUAAUUUCUCACUAAUUCAGUGCUGUCAGUUUUAAGUUAUUGCAAGACUAGACGACAAGGAUAUUGUUUACCGACAUGCGAAACAUACACAUUGCCGCUUCAUGAACAAUAAUAAGUAGUUUGCCUGCCGUUACCAAUUAAAAAUUAUUCUUGAUAGAUUGAUAGGCUUGACUUUUUCAAGCACAUUUCCCUCGAAAAAUAAGCGAGCGCGAUUUCCUAUUUGUCGUGAGAUCUUCAUAAUAUGCAACACGAUCAAAUGUCAACAUGACUUAGACAGUUCAAACCCUAUAUACACUGUUUGGCGACUAAAGAAAAGAUAGAAUCAUUUCAAACAAUUUUUGCUUUUCUUACAUGGUUUUCUCUUUUUCAAAAUAGUAAACCUUAAUAGUUGUGUCUUCAAGGUAUUGUAUUGUGAUAUCACGACCCGUAAGGGCGAGGUUUCCGUUCCCCCAAACGCGAAAACAAGGUGGACUUCGGAACCUAUGUGUUUGCUUUUGAAAAACCUACAAACCCGCUGAACUUAUCAAACGAAGAUCCACAUCCAGAGUUCAAAAUUAAGAUAUAUUGAAAGAAAAAAAUUUUCAGCCGACACACGAAGUUGCUUUCAUAAUAGAGAGUUCGCUCAUUUGUGUCAAUUUGAACGAUUAUUGGGGUAGAAUUAUUCGUUGACUUUGGAUCGAUUCAGAUUCCGAAAACCUUUGCUGGAUUCAAUAAAACUGUGAUAAGAAGAAUCUUGAGACAACGCACCAAUAAAAUGCCGGAGUAUUCAGCCAUUGCCACAGACGUCCUCUUCAAGCUUGAGCAUAGAGUUCCAACAGGAAUGUAUCGCCGAAGUGAACCAAUCACUAAUGUGGAAUAAAUAUGGCUUGGUAAAUAUAUUAAAAUCGAAAAACUGACCAUAGUUACAUGAACAACAUGAGCACUCUGCUGCAAAAAUUCUUGAUCUAUUAACCACAUUUUCCAUCCUCAUAUCCUAAAGCUUAGAAGAAAUAUCUUAAACUUUCCUUAUUAGGCAAAAAUAUUGUGACUUGAAUGAUUAUUAUGGUAUCUCACAGGGGCGUUUCUCUACGUUGCUUCCCACAAAAUCUUCCCUUGCUGAUAAAUUUUCCGGUUUGAAGGGUAAACCUUUUUCAGAGUACUUUUCAUUUGUGAAUGGUUUAAUUUUGCAAGAAUUGGAUAUUUAUACGUAACGUGCUCGGCGGUAUGGAGUCUCCUUGUUCUGCAGCAACAUGCAACUAAACACCGGUGGAGUUCAUCGAGGAGCGUCACAAAUCUUCUGUGGGACCAAGGUUAAUUGGUGAAACAAAUCAAACACCAUCCUUCGUUCGAAAUUUUAGCAUCUCUGAGCCCUGAUUCAGAAUCUCUUAUCUAAGAUCCCUCGACAACGCUGAAAACAAAAAUUGUCAAAAGGCAAGGUUUAAGAUACACGGGUCGUUGCAUCAAUUCCGCCUGAGGUUAUCAUGCCACAACUACCUACAACAGUUUCGGGAAAAAAAAACAUUGAAUAACAUAUCAAGCCUAACUUUCCUUCCAGUGUAAUCAAGCCCUAAGCAUUGCUACCUGAUUAUUUUUCAGGGUGAAAGAAAAAUUAGAUUGCUGCAGUUUCUCUCUCUCGCUCUAUCGAAGCCGUAUAAGACGACAACAUGCCUUCAUCAUUAAACUUGCUAUAAACAGUAAUGGAUCAAAAUUCAUCAAGCUACAGCACGAUUUGAAGCUCUAAGAAGACAGUUUAAAAGGCUGUUUUCUCUUAGGAAGUAGAUACUUUUCGGGUCUUGGCAACUAACCGUUGAAAUCAGGAUGCUGUUCUUCUUCUUGGCUCACGAUUGAUUUUUGCGAAGUAAAAAGAUCAGGCAGUGGGAGAAAGGAAAGUCUUCAUCAUUGCUUUGAAGUUAGCAUUAGCAGUUUGCUUUGAUUAAAUGUCCAUCUCCAUUGUACCAUUGAAUCAUGCGUGUUCUUUCGAAAAACACUAAAAAUAUGUUUUCCCUGAGACUAAUUUUCUUUUCAGUGCUAUGUAAACGAUCUUUCUCGAGAGAAUGGCGUAAAAGGGUAUUCGAAAAUGAGCUCACCGUAUCACCUUACUCGAAACUCGAAUCACAAGUGCAAUGCAUGAGCCUGGAAAAAUAAAUAAAGGCUUGAUUUAGUCUUGGCUCCUUUGGUGCACAUUAGAUCGUUCUUGAAGUACAUCAAAAGUUUGUUUCCUUUCUUCUUCAAAGAGGUGAUAUAAAGAUAUAAAAACAUAAAAUAUUUAGACUCCAUACUAAUAAGACUUCACAUCUGAGCUAAGUUAUACAAACCUUAGAAAGUGAUGGAAAUGUCUAGCAGAUCUGUCUGGAACUGUUGUACCUAUUCAGAGGAGCAAAUAUUUCCCAUAAUUUUUUAACAAGCUAAAAAUAAUUCACUACUUAAGAAUAAGACCCGAACUAAAUAUAUAAUCUAACUGCAGAAAUAGUGAAUUUCUAGGAAAGGACCCUUCUUUCAUUGCACUCGUCAAUAAAAUUCUCCACAGGACUAGCUGUCUUAUGAAGAACCUAAUUAUGUCAGAGCUUCACCUGUAAGAUUUUGUCGAUUUCUAAAUCGAAAUAGUUACAAAAGACAACAUGGAAAAAACUUUGGGAAUACAAUGCCCCUAUUUCGUCAUUUUACCACAUCUUAGAACCAGCAAAGAUUCAGAGAAGUGAUUCAUUCAAAUUGAUGUCAAAUGUAACUGGGUGUAAUUUAUCAGUCUGGAAUUAGCAAGAAGUAUUUAGCAGCUAACACUUUGUCUUAUGACAAAAAUAUAUCUAUCAAGAACUUUUCCCAAGAGCCGCCAGUAAAAAAAUGUGCUUGUAAACAAGGAAAUAAUACGAAUGUAGUAUUCAUGUCUUUGAAAGUCAAUACUUGCUCGAGUUAAGUACUAACCUUCACCGAUGUUUUCAAACUUCUAUUCAGUCUCCAAGACUUGAGUGUCAACAUAAACACGAUUUUUCUUGAUAACUGUUCUUAGAUUUCUUUUUUCACGCGAUCAAAAAUUAGAAAAGUAAAGAUAGUGAUAUUUUUGGUUGUCGCGUGCGUCUGAUGUCGAUCUUGAACAAACAAUCAGUAAAUACACCGAGGAUUCAACAGGCUCUUCCGAACACAAAACCUCUGCAAGGAGCACCCUUUAAAAUCCCCCUAAACCUAUAAUGUGAUCAAUUCACAUGUCUGGGUAUAUAACACGAGCCCUCAGAGAAAAACCGGUUCGAAACUGCUACGUGGGUUUAUCAGUCGAUUGAUCCAAACUCUGGGAUAAACACUUACCUCGAACACAAUAGUCUGGUGGCCUUGUUUUCUAAAGGCUAGAGAACUAAGACUCGACACGAACCCCUUACGAUUCAGAUUGUGCUCUUUCGCCGAACGUUUUGUUGAAGCAUCCGAUUCAUUUUGCACGCGAAAACUUGCGACGCCACAUGGCUUGCAACCUAAAUAUGGUUUUGAAACAUGCACGAGGAAUGUUGACUAAAGGCGAACGAAAUUUCUCAGCAAGCAAUUUCAGAGAUCGUAACAAUUCUUUCAUCAAUCUAACAAUAGGAGACAUAAUUUGGGAUAGUUCUUUGCGCAAAAAGAAGCCAAAAGACUCUUUUUGGGUAGAAGGUCGAAACGCAUGGCGUGAAAGCUGAGUUUUGAGUUUAACCCACAUAUAACGGAUGUGUAACCACACUUCAGGCUCGAGAACAAACCCCGCCCCGGGUGAGCGGGGUGCUAUGCAAAUUACAAGAGUUCCCGGCUGUACUCAACGAACGUAAGUCAAACAUGUGAUUUCCUACACUAAUAGAAAUUUCCUCAUUGUUCAUUUGCAAAAUGAUUAAAAACAGCCUGAUGAUGGACUGUAGCUUCCUACA
rnacentral:lncRNA from 1 species